rnacentral:rRNA from 1 species
UAGGGAAUAUUGGACAAUGGGGGCAACCCUGAUCCAGCCAUGCCGCGUGAGUGAAGAAGGCCCUCGGGUUGUAAAGCUCUUUUGUCCGGAAAGAAAAGCGUUCGGUGAAUACCCGGAUGUUCUGACGGUACCGGAAGAAUAAGCACCGGCUAACUUCGUGCCAGCAGCCGCGGUAAUACGAAGGGUGCAAGCGUUACUCGGAAUUACUGGGCGUAAAGCGUGCGUAGGUGGUUCGUUAAGUCUGAUGUGAAAGCCCUGGGCUCAACCUGGGAAUGGCAUUGGAAACUGGCGGACUGGAGUGCGGUAGAGGGUAGCGGAAUUCCCGGUGUAGCAGUAAAAUGCGUAGAGAUCGGGAGGAACAUCCGUGGCGAAGGCGGCUACCUGGACCAGCACUGACACUGAGGCACGAAAGCGUGGGGAGCAAACA